rnacentral:rRNA from 1 species
GACGAACGCUGGCGGCGUGCUUAACACAUGCAAGUCGAACGGAAAGGCCCUGCUUGCAGGGUACUCGAGUGGCGAACGGGUGAGUAACACGUGGGUGAUCUGCCCUGCACUUCGGGAUAAGCCUGGGAAACUGGGUCUAAUACCGGAUAGGAGCCAUUUUUAGUGUGAUGGUUGGAAAGUUUUUUCGGUGUAGGAUGAGCUCGCGGCCUAUCAGCUUGUUGGUGGGGUAAUGGCCUACCAAGGCGGCGACGGGUAGCCGGCCUGAGAGGGUGGACGGCCACAUUGGGACUGAGAUACGGCCCAAACUCCUACGGGGGGCAGAGGUGGGGAAUAUUGCACAAGGGGCGAAAGCCUGAUGCAGCGACGCCGGGGGGGGGAUGACGGCCUUCGGGUUUUAACCCCCUUUCGCUGGGGACGAAGCUUUUUGUGACGGUCCCGAGAAAAGAAGCCCCGGCAAACUACGU